AAGUUGUAACAAGGUUUCCGUAGGUGAACCUGCGGAAGGAUCAUUAACACGUAUCCACGUAUCAACCAAUGAGAACCUGUUUUCCCGUCUCCCUGUGCAAAGAAUGAAUUGGAACCAGUUUGAGGGAGUGAUGGGACCGAAAGGUCGGCCUUCCUGGUAUACUUAUGUAAAUAGAAAUGUUUGCAUAGACAAUUGUAUUUUUGUUACAGGCUAUUUCUUAUCGCUUUGAUCCCCAUCAUGAUCGUGGCGGUAGGGAAACUUUCACUUUAUUUACCUUUUUUGCUAGUUGACUUUUUAUAUGUGUUGUCUUGCGAAAGCAUGGUGGCACACGUUUAUUAAUUGAACGUUAAAAAAUACAACUCUUAGCAAUGGAUAUCUUGGUUCUC
rnacentral:misc_RNA from 1 species